rnacentral:rRNA from 1 species
AUCCGCCUGGGAAGUACGGCCGCAAGGCUAAAACUCAAAGGAAUAGACGGGGACUUGCACAAGCAGUGGAUUAUGUGGUUUAAUUCGAUGGUAAACGAAGAACCUUACCAGGGUUAGAACUCUACUUGAAAGCUCUAAGAAACUAGAGCCCUCGCAAGACAAGUGGACAGGUGAUGCAUGGCCGUCGUCAGUUCGUGGUUUGAAUUGUACCCUUAAGUGGGCUAACGAACGCAACCCUCGUUGUGUGUUACAAGUGUCACACGAGACCGCCCUCCCCUUUGCGCAAGAGCGCAAAGGGGCGCAGAAUUACGCUGACUUCACGCUGAUUUACGCAGAAGUAAAUGCAAUUGUAUUUUGUCUGCGACAGUCUGCGUCCAGUCUGCGAUUGUCCGCGCCCCUUUGUUCGUUCUCGAACAAAGGGGAGGGAGGAAGGAGAGGAUGACGCCAGGUCAGCAUGUCCCUUUGAUACCCUGGGCUACACACAUAAUACAAUGACCGCUACAACGCGCAGCGACGAGGCGACUCUGAGCUAAUCGUCAAAAGCGGCCUCAGUUCGGAUUGGAGUCUGAAACUCGACUCCAUGAAGCUGGAAUUGCUAGUAAUCACAGGUCAGCUAAACUGUGGUGAAUACGUUCUCAAGUCUUGUACUCACAAAUAAGUGCGCCCGGCAGCGUAUAAAACUAAGUGGUUAAAAUCCACU